rnacentral:rRNA from 1 species
GGAGGAAAGUAGGGGAUCGAAAGACCUUCCGCUUUUGGAGCGGCCGAUGUCUGAUUAGCUAGUUGGUAAGGUAAUGGCUUACCAAGGCAACGAUCAGUAGUUGGUCUGAGAGGACGACCAGCCACACUGGGACUGAGACACGGCCCAGACUCCUACGGGAGGCAGCAGUGGGGAAUUUUGGACAAUGGGCGCAAGCCUGAUCCAGCAAUGCCGCGUGAGUGAAGAAGGCCUUCGGGUUGUAAAGCUCUUUCAGUUGAGAAGAAAAGAUUGUGACUAAUAAUUGCAAUUCAUGACGGUAUCAACAGAAGAAGCACCGGCUAACUACGUGCCAGCAGCCGCGGUAAUACGUAGGGUGCGAGCGUUAAUCGGAAUUACUGGGCGUAAAGGGUGCGCAGGCGGUUCUGUAAGUCAGAUGUGAAAUCCCCGGGCUUAACCUGGGAACUGCGUUUGAAACUACAAAGCUAGA